rnacentral:rRNA from 1 species
GUAUGAAGUGAGCAUGCAGGAAUGAGUAACGAUAAGAUAUAUGAGAAUUGUAUCCGCCGUAAAUCUAAGGUUUCCUACGCGAUGGUCGUCAUCGUAGGGUUAGUCGGGUCCUAAGCCGAGUCCGAAAGGGGUAGGUGAUGGCAAAUUGGUUAAUAUUCCAAUACCGACUAUGGAGCGUGAUGGGGGGACGCAUAGGGUUAAGCGAGCUAGCUGAUGGAAGCGCUAGUCUAAGGGCGUAGAUUGGAGGGAAGGCAAAUCCACCUCUGUAUUUGAAACCCAAACAGGCUCUUUGAGUCCUUUUAGGACAAAGGGAGAAUCGCUGAUACCGUCGUGCCAAGAAAAGCCUCUAAGCAUAUCCAUAGUCGUCCGUACCGCAAACCGACACAGGUAGAUGAGAUGAGUAUUCUAAGGCGCGUGAAAGAACUCUGGUUAAGGAACUCUGCAAACUAGCACCGUAAGUUCGCGAUAAGGUGUGCCACAGCGAUGUGGUCUCAGCAAAGAGUCCCUCCCGACUGUUUACCAAAAACACAGCACUUUGCCAACUCGUAAGAGGAAGUAUAAGGUGUGACGCCUGCCCGGUGCUCGAAGGUUAAGAGGAUGCGUCAGUCGCAAGAUGAAGCGUUGAAUUGAAGCCCGAGUAAACGGCGGCCGUAACUAUAACGGUCCUAAGGUAGCGAAAUUCCUUGUCGGUUAAAUACCGACCUGCAUGAAUGGCGUAACGAGAUGGGAGCUGUCUCAACCAGAGAUUCAGUGAAAUUGUAGUGGAGGUGAAAAUUCCUCCUACCCGCGGCAAGACGGAAAGACCCCGUGGACCUUUACUACAACUUAGCACUGCUAAUGGGAAUAUCAUGCGCAGGAUAGGUGGGAGGCUUUGAAGUAAGGGCUUUGGCUCUUAUGGAGCCAUCCUUGAGAUACCACCCUUGAUGUUUCUGUUAGCUAACUGGCCUGUGUUAUCCACAGGCAGGACAAUGCUUGGUGGGUAGUUUGACUGGGGCGGUCGCCUCCUAAAAAGUAACGGAGGCUUGCAAAGGUUGGCUCAUUGCGGUUGGAAAUCGCAAGUUGAGUGUAAUGGCACAAGCCAGCCUGACUGUAAGACAUACAAGUCAAGCAGAGACGAAAGUCGGUCAUAGUGAUCCGGUGGUUCUGUGUGGAAGGGCCAUCGCUCAAAGGAUAAAAGGUACCCCGGGGAUAACAGGCUGAUCUCCCCCAAGAGCUCACAUCGACGGGGAGGUUUGGCACCUCGAUGUCGGCUCAUCGCAUCCUGGGGCUGGAGCAGGUCCCAAGGGUAUGGCUGUUCGCCAUUUAAAGCGGUACGCGAGCUGGGUUCAGAACGUCGUGAGACAGUUCGGUCCCUAUCUGCCGUGGGCGUAGGAAAGUUGAGGAGAGCUGUCCCUAGUACGAGAGGACCGGGAUGGACGUGUCACUGGUGCACCAGUUGUUCUGCCAAGAGCAUCGCUGGGUAGCUACACACGGAUGUGAUAACUGCUGAAAGCAUCUAAGCAGGAAGCCAACUCCAAGAUGAACUUUCCCUGAAGCUCGCACAAAGACUAUGUGCUUGAUAGGGUAGAUGUGUGAGUGCAGUAAUGCGUUUAGCUGACUACUACUAAUAGAGCGUUUGGCUUGUUUU